rfam:Streptomyces sp. NBRC 110611 DNA, contig: scaffold00037.
GGCUUUCUUCGCGCGGGAACUCGACCCGCGACUGCCCAGGUGACGGCCUGCGUGGACACCGUCCGCGAUGAGCUCGGGGUCGAGUCGGUCUGCCGUCAACUCCAGAUCGCCCCG